AGCCCAGACAGCUGCAGCCACAGCUCCCCGUAUCAAGAAAUUUGCCAUCUAUCGAUGGGACCCAGACAAGGCUGGAGACAAACCUCAUAUGCAGACUUAUGAAGUUGACCUUAAUAAAUGUGGCCCCAUGGUAUUGGAUGCUUUAAUCAAGAUUAAGAAUGAAGUUGACUCUACUUUGACCUUCCGAAGAUCAUGCAGAGAAGGCAUCUGUGGCUCUUGUGCAAUGAACAUCAAUGGAGGCAACACUCUAGCUUGCACCCGAAGGAUUGACACCAACCUCAAUAAGGUCUCAAAAAUCUACCCUCUUCCACACAUGUAUGUGAUAAAGGAUCUUGUUCCCGAUUUGAGCAACUUCUAUGCACAGUACAAAUCCAUUGAGCCUUAUUUGAAGAAGAAGGAUGAAUCUCAGGAAGGCAAGCAGCAGUAUCUGCAGUCCAUAGAAGAGCGUGAGAAACUGGUCAUUAGUCCCUAUUUAUUGUUUCGAUCUGAAGAAUUUAUUGCAAAGAUGUUUGCCAGGAGUGUGGCUUGGCAGGGAACAUAAGCUGAUGCA
rnacentral:sRNA from 1 species